UUUCUAACCUGUGCUUUCUUGCUCAAACAAAGAGUUUCUUUCUUAAAAACGGAUGUAGGAGACGCCAGCAGACGUGACUUAUUUUAAAUUCGUCAUGUCACGAAUAUUUUAAACGUAUCAUUUUUCUUCCAUUUCCCAAUUUUCCCUACGGUUUUUCGCAUUCAAAUAGCUAUGUAGCUACCAUGCUGGCUAUCCUUUUAUUACUCUGCUAGCAGGGUACUAUGUAGCCUAUAUUGAGAUUCAAAAUGGUUUCAUUGUCUUUUACAGUUUUAGUGUUCGUCUUUGUUUUGGUUUGUUUUUUUACUUUCGCCAGGCGGAAACUGGUGUCAAAAACGCUAAUGCUUGCUUGCUUGAUAUGUUCAGUGGCGGCAGAACGGAU